GGUGCUGUGGGGUAACGGUUAACCUGAGGCUUCACCAUGAUCUCCGCGCAUAGCAUAUUCUGUAGCCUAGCUGCGAGUUCGAAUCUCGCCUGCGCCA
rnacentral:tRNA from 1 species